AUACACUUAAGAUAUCAUUAGAAUUAGAAUAGUGCAGUGUGGAAUAGCUAGCCCUCAGGCAUCCAAGUUGAGAUGGAGCUCAGGGGUCCCAAAGCAUGGCUAUCAAGAGAGGGGCAUAACUUAAUAGCUAUGAGUAAGCGAAAAGUGAUUGGGAACCAUAUCAAAUGGUGGUCAUGCCCAGCUAUAGGUGUAUACUGGCACACCCCUGACCAUUUGUUGGUCCAAACAAGUUAAGAGCAGACCUUAAUAGUUAUACCUGAGUCUAAAUGAUGAUUAGAACACCACCAGACCCAAGUUAGGCUCAAAAUAUGAAGAGAAAAGGGAAGUGGGAAUUGAUUUGAGUAAGGGGUUCGAAGAAUCCAGUUCAAAUUCAUAGGCAGCAAUAACAAAGUGCUGCCAUGGCUGGAAAUGUACUCUCAUACAAAGGGGUAAAAGGAAGGGGUUCACAUGAUAAAAGAGCACAAAGAGUUGCAGAAACACGAUGAGGGAACACAUAACAUACUAGAACAAACACAUGGUGAAAGAAAUCAUAACAAACUAGGGAAUAAUCACACACUGAAGGGGGAUUAUGACAUACCAGAUGCAAUGUACUAGAGUAGCAGAAUAACAGAGUAAGCAUACUGCAAACGAUCAACAACAGCAGACUUAAGUCUUCACCACAUACUUGAGAAUUCAAAAGAGAACUCAAGAAUACUUUAGAAGUAAGUAGCAAGCAGAGACACUAUAAGUAAGAAACACGAUUUGAUUGUGAAAGAGUGCAGAAACAUUGAUCUUUUCAAAUGCAGAAGUAAUGAAGAGAAAGUAUUGAAUUUGGAGUGUCUGUGUGUUGAAUUCGAAGUGCCUUUAAAAGUGAAGAAGAGUCAUGCCCUUUAUAGUGUAGAAAUCAAGUAAAAAUUGGUAAGAAAAUAAUCCAAAAAUCAAUCACACAAGAUUUCCUUCAAUUAAGGGAUUCUGAUUUCAAACGAGUAAAAGAUAAUUAAGGAAAGAGUUUGAUCAAAAUCUUUUCCCAAAGUAGCAUAAGAAGGGUAAAUACAUAGAAGUCUAUAUAAGGAAAAAGUCUAGUCACACAGUUUGCAUGAAUAUGGAAAUGGAAUCAAUCAAAUAUCAAAAUAGCAGGCUUUGUUCUAAUGAACCAAGAUAGAAGUAUAUAUAUGGAAAAGGUCCAGUGACAUACAGUUUGUUAGCAUAAGGAAAUGGAAUCAAUCAAAAUAUCAAAAUUGCAGGCUUUGUUCGAAUGAACCAAGUCAGGAAAAGUGAGGAGAGGGUUUUACUUAAGGAAAAUCAAUGACAAUCAAUUAAAACCCAAAAUGAUUCUGAAUCCAAUCUUGAGUUGGAAAACCUUUUUUGAAAGAAAAUUCCUCAUAUAUAAAGCAGCAAGAAUGUCAAACAAGAAUGAAUUUUCACGCUAAUUAGAAAAGACUAGAAAAGUUCAGAGUCAAAGAAGAGUACAAAGACUCAGAUGAUUCUAUGAAACCUGGAGUUCAAAAAUAUUAACCCUAGUUCCAACACAAGAUCCAAACUUGUCAAAACCCCCCUCAAAUCCUAGGGGUUUAGACUUGAGCAAGAUGCAGAGAAGAAAAGCAAAUAAUUGAAACAUGCUCAGAGACUCAUAGAAAAUGAACAAAUAGCAGGCUCAAGGCAAAUAAAACUGAUUUGAUAUAUAGUAAGAGUAGCAAGAACAGAUUUUAAAAAACUUGGAACUUAAAUAAGUUUUAAAGAAUGUAGAUAAAGAACUGACGCUUAGUAGAAAAUACAAUAAAGGAACACAUGGGUAAAUGAACAUAUAAGAUAAACAUGUGAAAGCAUGCAAUAGAAACUAGUAGAAGAAAGAACGGAUAACAUGCAUAAUAAGGCAAACACCAUGUGAAGACCAUGCGAAGAAAGACAUUAGAACCCAAGCGAAAAAAUUAGAAGAACAUGGCAUAUACAGAUAGAUUCACACACAAAAAAAGAAGAUGAAUAGGAGACACAAGUCAUUUUAAGAUUUUCAGAAAACCCUAAUUGAAACAGGCUACAUUUGAAAAAGAAAAAUCGGGGAAAAGCUUCAAAACGUAGAAUACAACAUAGAUUUAUCACAGAUCUAAGAAAAAGAGAAGAAGGAACCCCGAAAUAGCUUUGGGGUUUCUCAGAAAUCCUAGAAAUGAGAAGGAUUGGAAAAGGUCUGGUCUCGAACAGAUCUGAGCCGUGGCUAGGCUCUUAAGGCUUAAACACGUCGGAACUGAGCCAGAGAGGCCAUAGGAGCACAGAUUGGCGGAGGAUCUGAACAGGAGUCGUUGAGAUCAGACCUCAAAACCUUGAAGAACCAGGGCCAACGGUUAAAGCAGGUGAGCACAGGUCGUCCAUGGCCUGAGAAGCCAUGGACUCCAGUGAAGGUUGAUCGGUGAAGACGAGGGAGAUGAUUAGAGUUUCUAGGGCUUGAGAGCGUUUGAGAGGAGGAGAGUUUGAAGGCGGCUG
rnacentral:lncRNA from 1 species